CAGAUCCAUCAUGAUGGACGGCAAAGACGUGAUGCCAGAGGUCAACAAGGUGCUGGACAAGAUCUUCGUUCAGGGCAUCAUCUGGGACAUCAACAGCUUCGACCAGUGGGGAGUGGAGCUGGGGAAGCAGCUGGCCAAGAAAAUUGAGCCAGAGCUGGACGGCAGCUCUGCCGUAACCUCCCAUGACUCCUCCACUAAUGGACUGAUCGGCUUCAUCAAGCUGCAGCGCGACACCAAAAUAGAUUAAGCCCAGCCGCGGCCCUCCUGACUUCGUGUCCCUUCUCGCCUAUGCACUGCAUGGUCCUGCCCCUCCCUGCCCAGAGUGCGUACCACCGGACUUGGACCACGAGGCUUUUGGGAGAAGCUGGUCUGGAGCUGCUGUCCGCCCCCUCUGUGCACCCUCCCCCUGUUGAAGCAGGCGGAAGGGCUCUGAUGCUGACGCCAUGUUGUUCUGACCUGUAUUCACAUCCCAGCUAGAAUAAAGACACCCAGAGGAGGCAUGGGCUCAGCCUCUC
rnacentral:lncRNA from 1 species